rnacentral:rRNA from 1 species
GAGUUUGAUCCUGGCUCAGAUUGAACGCUGGCGGCAGGCCUAACACAUGCAAGUCGAGCGGAUGACGGGAGCUUGCUCCUUGAUUCAGCGGCGGACGGGUGAGUAAUGCCUAGGAAUCUGCCUGGUAGUGGGGGACAACGUUUCGAAAGGAACGCUAAUACCGCAUACGUCCUACGGGAGAAAGCAGGGGACCUUCGGGCCUUGCGCUAUCAGAUGAGCCUAGGUCGGAUUAGCUAGUUGGUGGGGUAAUGGCUCACCAAGGCGACGAUCCGUAACUGGUCUGAGAGGAUGAUCAGUCACACUGGAACUGAGACACGGUCCAGACUCCUACGGGAGGCAGCAGUGGGGAAUAUUGGACAAUGGGCGAAAGCCUGAUCCAGCCAUGCCGCGUGUGUGAAGAAGGUCUUCGGAUUGUAAAGCACUUUAAGUUGGGAGGAAGGGCAGUAAGUUAAUACCUUGCUGUUUGACGUUACCGACAGAAUAAGCACCGGCUAACUCUGUG